rnacentral:rRNA from 1 species
GACGAACGCUGGCGGCGUGCUUAACACAUGCAAGUCGAACGGAAAGGCCCUGCUUUUGUGGGGUGCUCGAGUGGCGAACGGGUGAGUAACACGUGAGUAACCUGCCCUUGACUUUGGGAUAACUUCAGGAAACUGGGGCUAAUACCGGAUAGGAGCUCCUGCUGCGUGGUGGGGGUUGGAAAGUUUCGGCGGUUGGGGAUGGACUCGCGGCUUAUCAGCUUGUUGGUGGGGUAGUGGCUUACCAAGGCUUUGACGGGUAGCCGGCCUGAGAGGGUGACCGGCCACAUUGGGACUGAGAUACGGCCCAGACUCCUACGGGAGGCAGCAGUGGGGAAUAUUGCACAAUGGGCGGAAGCCUGAUGCAGCAACGCCGCGUGCGGGAUGACGGCCUUCGGGUUGUAAACCGCUUUUGCCUGUGACGAAGCGUGAGUGACGGUAAUGGGUAAAGAAGCACCGGCUAACUACGUGCCAGCAGCCGCGGUGAUACGUAGGGUGCGAGCGUUGUCCGGAUUUAUUGGGCGUAAAGGGCUCGUAGGUGGUUGAUCGCGUCGGAAGUGUAAUCUUGGGGCUUAACCCUGAGCGUGCUUUCGAUACGGGUUGACUUGAGGAAGGUAGGGGAGAAUGGAAUUCCUGGUGGAGCGGUGGAAUGCGCAGAUAUCAGGAGGAACACCAGUGGCGAAGGCGGUUCUCUGGGCCUUUCCUGACGCUGAGGAGCGAAAGCGUGGGGAGCGAACAGGCUUAGAUACCCUGGUAGUCCACGCUGUAAACGGUGGGUACUAGGUGUGGGGUCCAUUCCACGGGUUCCGUGCCGUAGCUAACGCUUUAAGUACCCCGCCUGGGGAGUACGGCCGCAAGGCUAAAACUCAAAGGAAUUGACGGGGCCCCGCACAAGCGGCGGAGCAUGCGGAUUAAUUCGAUGCAACGCGUAGAACCUUACCUGGGUUUGACAUGGAUCGGGAGUGCUCAGAGAUGGGUGUGCCUCUUUUGGGGUCGGUUCACAGGUGGUGCAUGGCUGUCGUCAGCUCGUGUCGUGAGAUGUUGGGUUAAGUCCCGCAACGAGCGCAACCCUUGUUCACUGUUGCCAGCACGUUAUGGUGGGGACUCAGUGGAGACCGCCGGGGUCAACUCGGAGGAAGGUGGGGAUGACGUCAAGUCAUCAUGCCCCUUAUGUCCAGGGCUUCACGCAUGCUACAAUGGCUGGUACAGAGAGUGGCGAGCCUGUGAGGGUGAGCGAAUCUCGGAAAGCCGGUCUCAGUUCGGAUUGGGGUCUGCAACUCGACCUCAUGAAGUCGGAGUCGCUAGUAAUCGCAGAUCAGCAACGCUGCGGUGAAUACGUUCCCGGG